CAAGUGAGGUCAGCCUAGUGGCCUUCUCUAACGCUGGUAUCUAAUGUAAGAGGCAGACCACACACAGUUCCCUGAACAGACAAUAUGCUCUCAGGCUUUGAAAAAUGGGAAUAAAAUAUGCUAAGAACAGAAGGUAUAAUGGGGAAGGGCUCAGAAAGGCAGGAUUUUUUUUCUUUAACAAAUGUUUCAUCUCACUUUCUUUAAUCCAUCUGAAAUAGACUAUCUCCCUUCUGUCUCUGACACCAGGAUUUUUUCUGCUCUAUCCUGAGGCAUGCCUGUCUGUCUCAAUGCCCCCACCCCUCUCCACACAAACAGUUUCCUCCUGUUCCCUUCAUUUCCCUCCCCAGCUGUCCUCUGGGAAUAUGGCAGCCCAUGUCACCCCUCAAAGAGUAGCUAUUUUCUCCUCCAGAAGCUACAUGACACAGGAUUCCAACGGGAUCUUCCAGAAAGAAUGCAGGACCACACAUCAUCACCUGUAGAUGUAACUCACAGGCCAAAGGAGUGAGAAAAGUGUGCUUCCAGUCCCAAAACUCUGCCAUUGUCAUUGUCUGAAACUGACUUCAUCGGCCACACUCCUCUGACUUCAAAAAGAACUGUGAAGUGUGUGAUCGUAUGUGGACAGUACUGAACCCAUACAGAUCUAGACAUUCUACUAACAAAGGAUAGACUAGAUGCUUUAGAGUCACCAUGACGACCAUGGACUGUAGCACCAUGUGGAGGAAUAACCAUGGGAGGCACUUAUGUCAGGAGAGUUGGUAAGAGAUGGUGAUUUUUAUAUGGAGGAGUGCAGAGAUAAAGAAAAGUUGGGAUAACUUUUUUUUUUUUUUCUGAUUUCUGGCUCGGGCUGUUGUAAAUGGUGGUACCAAUGGUGAUACAUGCUUCAGGGGACUUUGGCAGUUCAUUGUUAGGCACGGUGAGUUUGAUGUCACUGUGAGAGACUACUCACAGGACUCCCUUAAACUGGCAUGGCAGCAACAAUGAAUAGAUACAAGUUGGCCAUGCAACAGUUCCUUGGUGUAUGAUUCGGUGUCCCGAAAAGUCAAAAGGACAACAACAAAAAAAAGUUAGUUAAUUAUAAUGUCAAUUAGCUAGUAUAGAAUGAAAUUCUGAGCAGCUCAGCGGAUGGAUUUCAUAAUAAGGAGCAUUGCUUAGCUCUCCACCCAUGCCUGUGUUUGUGUAUAUGGGUGGGAAACAAACCACACGCUGUCAUUCAACAAACUGCAAUUCCACUUGCCCCAGAGAACCUCAGGGACCAAUUUCACCAGGCAGAGUACACAAUCUGCUUCUGACUCACAACAUCGAAUUGUAUUUCUUUACUCGGUUAUAUACUCUCAUAUCCUGAAUACUACUCUCUCUUUCUAGAAUAUAGUAGUUUAAAUGCUUAUUUAAAAUAUAAAGUAUGUUGGCUAACUGAACAUAAUGAAAAAUUAAUAAAAAAUAAAACAAAAUAAUUAUAGAAAUACUAAUACUGCAAUUUUAGAAACAAUAACAAAAACAACAGUAAUAAUCCUUGUCCCUAUGUAACGACUAAGUGCUAAGCUCUGUUCUGCGUGUGCAUGUAUGUACCUGCGUAUGUGCAGGCAUCUGUGUUAUAUACUGUGUUGUCUCUUAGUCUAGAAAAAAACCUUUGAUAAAAAUUCAUUUGAUAAAAAAAUUGAUUUGAUAAAAAUUCAUUUCAGAUAAAAUUUCAUGUCUGAUUGAUGUGUUGUAUAAUAAGACAAUAUAAAAUAUUUCAAAGAUACUGUA